rnacentral:rRNA from 1 species
UACGUAGGUGGCAAGCGUUGUCCGGAUUUACUGGGCGUAAAGCGCACGUAGGCGGGUCGUUAAGUCAGGGGGUGAAAAUCCCGGAGCUCAACUCCGGAACUGCCUUUGAUACUGGCGACCUUGAGGCUGGAAGAGGUUAGUGGAAAUUCCCAGUGUAGAGGUGAAAUUCGUAGAUAUUGGGAAGAACACCAGUGGCGAAGGCGGCUAACUGGUCCAGAUCUGACGCUGAGGUGCGAAAAGCGUGGGGAGCAAACAGGG